AGUCGAACGGUAAGGCCCCUUCGGGGGUACACGAGUGGCGAACGGGUGAGUAACACGUGAGCAACCUGCCCUUGACACUGGAAUAACAGUUGGAAACAGCUGCUAAUGCCGGAUAUGACCUUCGGUGGCAUCACCUGGAGGUGGAAAGUGCUAAGCGGUCAAGGAUGGGCUCGCGGCCUAUCAGCUUGUUGGUGAGGUAACGGCUCACCAAGGCUUCGACGGGUAGCCGGCCUGAGAGGGCGACCGGCCACACUGGGACUGAGAUACGGCCCAGACUCCUACGGGAGGCAGCAGUGGGGAAUAUUGCACAAUGGGCGCAAGCCUGAUGCAGCAACGCCGCGUGCGGGAUGACGGCCUUCGGGUUGUAAACCGCUUUCAGUUCCGACGAAGCGCAAGUGACGGUAGGAACAGAAGAAGGACCGGCCAACUACGUGCCAGCAGCCGCGGUGAUACGUAGGGUCCGAGCGUUGUCCGGAAUUAUUGGGCGUAAAGGGCUUGUAGGUGGUUUGUCACGUCGGAAGUGAAAACUCAGGGCUUAACCCUGAGCCUGCUUCCGAUACGGGCAAACUAGAGGAAUGCAGGGGAGAAUGGAAUUCCUGGUGGAGCGGUGGAAUGCGCAGAUAUCAGGAGGAACACCGGUGGCGAAGGCGGUUCUCUGGGCAUUUCCUGACGCUGAGAAGCGAAAGCGUGGGGAGCAAACAGGCUUAGAUACCCUGGUAGUCCACGCCGUAAACGGUGGGCACUAGGUGUGGGGAACAUUCCACGUUCUCCGUGCCGAAGCUAACGCAUUAAGUGCCCCGCCUGGGGAGUACGGCCGCAAGGCUAAAAACUCAAAGGAAUUGACGGGGGCCCCCA
rnacentral:rRNA from 1 species